GCUUACGGCCACACCGCCUGGUUCACGCUUGAUCUCGGAAGCUAAGAUAGGGUGGGCCUGAUUAGUACUUGGAUGGGAGACCGCCUGGGAAUACCAGGUGCUGUAAGCU
rnacentral:rRNA from 1 species